rnacentral:rRNA from 1 species
AAUACAUAGCAUAUCAGAAGGCACACCCGGAGAACUGAAACAUCUUAGUACCCGGAGGAAGAGAAAGAAAAUUCGAUCCCCUUAGUAGCGGCGAGCGAAACGGGAAGAGCCCAAACCAACAAGCUUGCUUGUUGGGGUUGUAGGACACUCUAUACGGAGUUACAAAGGACGACAUUAGACGAAUCAUCUGGAAAGAUGAAUCAAAGAAGGUAAUAAUCCUGUAGUCGAAAAUGUUGUCUCUCUUGAGUGGAUCCUGAGUACGACGGAGCACGUGAAAUUCCGUCGGAAUCUGGGAGGACCAUCUCCUAAGGCUAAAUACUCUCUAGUGACCGAUAGUGAACCAGUACCGUGAGGGAAAGGUGAAAAGCACCCCGGAAGGGGAGUGAAAUAGAACCUGAAACCGUGUGCUUACAAGUAGUCAGAGCCCGUUAAUGGGUGAUGGCGUGCCUUUUGUAGAAUGAACCGGCGAGUUACGAUUUGAUGCAAGGUUAAGCAGUAAAUGUGGAGCCGUAGCGAAAGCGAGUCUGAAUAGGGCGUUUAGUAUUUGGUCGUAGACCCGAAACCAGGUGAUCUACCCUUGGUCAGGUUGAAGUUCAGGUAACACUGAAUGGAGGACCGAACCGACUUACGUUGAAAAGUGAGCGGAUGAACUGAGGGUAGCGGAGAAAUUCCAAUCGAACCUGGAGAUAGCUGGUUCUCUCCGAAAUAGCUUUAGGGCUAGCCUCAAGUGAUGAUUAUUGGAGGUAGAGCACUGUUUGGACGAGGGGCCCCUCUCGGGUUACCGAAUUCAGACAAACUCCGAAUGCCAAUUAAUUUAACUUGGGAGUCAGAACAUGGGUGAUAAGGUCCGUGUUCGAAAGGGAAACAGCCCAGACCACCAGCUAAGGUCCCAAAAUAUAUGUUAAGUGGAAAAGGAUGUGGCGUUGCCCAGACAACUAGGAUGUUGGCUUAGAAGCAGCCAUCAUUUAAAGAGUGCGUAAUAGCUCACUAGUCGAGUGACACUGCGCCGAAAAUGUACCGGGGCUAAACAUAUUACCGAAGCUGUGGAUUGUCCUUUGGACAAUGGUAGGAGAGCGUUCUAAGG